rnacentral:rRNA from 1 species
CUGGUUGAUCCUGCCAGUAGUCAUAUGCUUGUCUCAAAGACUAAGCCAUGCAUGUCUAAGUAUAAAUGUUAUACAGUGAAACUGCGAAUGGCUCAUUAAAACAGUUAUAGUUUAUUUGAUAAUCGAAUUUUACAUGGAUAACCGUGGUAAUUCUAGAGCUAAUACAUGCUGGUUAGCCUGACUUCUAGGAAGGGCUGUAUUUAUUAGAUAACAAACCAAUAUUCCUCGUGUCUAUUGUGAUGACUCAUAAUAACUGAUCGAAUCGCAUGGGCCUUGCCCGCGAUACAUCAUUCAAGUUUCUGCCCCAUCAGCUUUCGAUGGUAGUGUAUUGGACUACCAUGGCUUUAACGGGUAACGGAGGAUUAGGGUUCGAUUCCGGAGAGGGAGCCUGAGAAACGGCUACCACAUCUAAGGAAGGCAGCAGGCGCGUAAAUUACCCAAUCCUGACUCAGGGAGGUAGUGACAAGAAAUAACGGACCGAGGCUUCACGCUUCGGGAUUGCAAUGAGUAGAAUUUAAACCCCUUUACGAGGAUCAAUUGGAGGGCAAGUCUGGU